rnacentral:rRNA from 1 species
GAUGGUUUGGCACCUCGAUGUCGGCUCGUCGCAUCCUGGGGCUGGAGUCGGUCCCAAGGGUUGGGCUGUUCGCCCAUUAAAGCGGUACGCGAGCUGGGUUUAGAACGUCGUGAGACAGUUCGGUCCCUAUCCGCUGUGCGCGUAGGAAUAUUGAGAAGGGCUGUCCCUAGUACGAGAGGACCGGGACGGACGAACCUCUGGUGUGCCAGUUGUCCUGCCAAGGGCAUGGCUGGUUGGCUACGUUCGGAAAGGAUAACCGCUGAAAGCAUCUAAGCGGGAAGCCUGCUUCGAGAUGAGUAUUCCCACCAACUUGAUUGGUUAAGGCUCCCAGUAGACGACUGGGUUGAUAGGCCAGAUGUGGAAGCCCUGUAAGGGGUGGAGCUGACUGGUACUAAUAGGCCGAGGGCUUGUCCUCAGUUG